GCGGAGGGCUGGAUGGCCGCGGCGCGACUUUGCGCAGCAAGGAUCGCACCGAGGAAAGUCCGGACUCCCUGAAGAAACGGUGCCGGGUAACGCCCGGGCGGAGCAAUCCGACGGACAGCGCCACAGAGAACAGACAGCCAUGCUUGCAUGGUGAUGGUGAAACGGUGGGGUAAGGCCCACCGGGGCCUUGGCAACAGGGCUCGCAUGGCAAGCCCCACCGGGAGCAAUGCCGAAUAGGGACCGCGCUACGGGGGCUUCACCCCGCGGUCCGGGUUGGCAGCUGGAACGUGUCGGCAACGGCACGUCGAGAGGAAUGGUCAUCCAGAGGGGUCCGCCCCUUGGACAGAAUCCGGCUUACAGGCCCUCCGCGCAU
rnacentral:RNase_P_RNA from 1 species